rfam:Sodalis glossinidius str. 'morsitans' DNA, complete genome.
UUUGGCAUUGGCCUUGCGCGCCAUGAUGCCGUUGCCCACCGCAUGCAGCAAAUGGGUCUUGCCCAGCCCGGUGCCGCCAUA